rnacentral:rRNA from 1 species
AUUGAACGCUGGCGGCAGGCCUAACACAUGCAAGUCGAGCGAGCGGCGGACGGGUGAGGAAUGUAUGGGGACUGCCCGAUAGAGGGGGAUAACUACUGGAAACGGUAGCUAAUACCGCAUACUAUCGGAUAACCCAUAGGGGAUUAGCUAGUUGGUGGGGGAAUGGCUAACCUAGGCGACGAUCCAUAGCUGGGCUGAGAGGAUGAUAGGCCACACGGGGACUGAGACACGGCCCAGACUCCUACGGAGGCAGCAGUGGGGAAUAUUGCACAAUGGGCGAAAGCCUGAUGCAGCAAUGCCGCGUGUAUGAAGAAGGCCCUCGGGUUGUAAAGUACUUUCAGUCGGGAGGCGUUACCGACAGAAGAAGCACCGGCUAACUCCGUGCCAGCAGCCGCGGUAAUAC